CCUACGGGAUGCACCAGUGGGGAAUAUUGCACAAUGGGCGCAAGCCUGAUGCAGCCAUGCCGCGUGUGUGAAGAAGGCCUUCGGGUUGUAAAGCACUUUCAGCGGGGAGGAAGGCGGUGAGGUUAAUAACCUCAUCGAUUGACGUUACCUGCAGAAGAAGCACCGGCUAACUCCGUGCCAGCAGCCGCGGUAAUACGGAGGGUGCAAGCGUUAAUCGGAAUUACUGGGCGUAAAGCGCACGCAGGCGGUCUGUCAAGUCGGAUGUGAAAUCCCCGGGCUCAACCUGGGAACUGCAUUCGAAACUGACAGGCUAGAGUCUUGUAGAGGGGGGUAGAAUUCCAGGUGUAGCGGUGAAAUGCGUAGAGAUCUGGAGGAAUACCGGUGGCGAAGGCGGCCCCCUGGACAAAGACUGACGCUCGGGUGCGAAAGCGUGGGGAGCAAACAGGAUUAGAUACCCGGGUAGUC
rnacentral:rRNA from 1 species